UACGGGGGGGGCAAGCGUUGUUCGGAAUUACUGGGCGUAAAGGGUUCGUAGGUGGCUUGCUAAGUCAGACGUGAAAUCCCUCAGCUUAACUGGGGAACUGCGUCUGAUACUGGCGAGCUUGAGUGCAGGAGAGGAACGCGGAAUUCCAGGUGUAGCGGUGAAAUGCGUAGAUAUCUGGAGGAACACCGGUGGCGAAGGCGGCGUUCUGGACUGCAACUGACACUGAGAGACGAAAGCCAGGGGAGCAAACGGG
rnacentral:rRNA from 1 species